GGGUUCCCAUUCUCUUUGCAUCUAUCUAAGAAGGAAGAAGCCUGUUUGCUUAUAAACCAAGGAACAGGAGGAAAUCUUUCAAGUGAUACUUGCCUAUAUAUAUACUUGUCUUCAGUUGCUUGGAAAAUAUCCUUACAGCUUAACUUGGCACUGAAUAAAUCAAUUGAUGAGGAAGAGGCAACAAGAGCUAGAAUUUCCGUGACCAACUCGUUUGGAAGUGCCAGAAUGUUGGGAACUUUAUGGUUCUUGUCUCUGCUUCUGCUCUUUUUCGUUUUUGAACAACCCUGAAGUUUACCUUUGCUUUCUUU
rnacentral:misc_RNA from 1 species